rnacentral:rRNA from 1 species
GACGAACGCUGGCGGCGUGCCUAAUACAUGCAAGUCGAACGCAGUGGGGACGGGUGAGUAACACGUGGGUAACCUCCCAUCAGAGGGGAUAACACUUGGAAACAGGUGCUAAACCGAGACUGAAGGCAGGACCCGCGGUGCAUUAGCUAGUUGGUGAGGUAACGGCGCACCCAGGCCACGAUGCAGAGCCGCCCUGAGAGGGUGAUCGGCCACACUGGGACUGAGCCACGGCCCAGACUCCUACGGGAGGCAGCAGUAGGGAAUCUUCGGCAAUGGACGAAAGUCUGACCGAGCAACGCCGCGUGAGUGAAGAAGGUUUUCGGGUCGUAAAGCUCUGUUGUUAUAGAAGCGUUAUCUAACCAGAAAGCCACGGCUAACUACGUGCCAGCAGCCGCGGUAAUAC